rnacentral:rRNA from 1 species
UACGUAGGGCGCAAGCGUUAUCCGGAAUUAUUGGGCGUAAAGAGCUCGUAGGCGGCUUGUCGCGUCGGCUGUGAAAACCCGGGGCUCAACCCCGGGCCUGCAGUCGAUACGGGCAGACUAGAGUGCGGUAGGGGAGACUGGAAUUCCUGGUGUAGCGGUGAAAUGCGCAGAUAUCAGGAGGAACACCGGUGGCGAAGGCGGGUCUCUGGGCCGAUACUGACGCUGAGGAGCGAAAGCGUGGGGAGCGAACAGG